rnacentral:rRNA from 1 species
CGCCUCACACACACACAAACACAUAAACACAUUUCCUGAAUUUAUUAGUUAAGUAAUGUCGGAUGGAACACUGUUUUAGUGUUGAGUGUUCGUUGGAUUAUGAUGGGUGGCGC